CGCUCCUUGCAAAAAUAUUGAGGAAUAAGGAGUUCUGCCUGCCCAGUGACGUAGUUAAACGGCCGCGGUAUUUUGACCGUGCAAAGGUAGCAUAAUCAUUUGCCUCUUAAAUAGAGGCUGGUAUGAAUGGCAAGACGAAGGUUAAGCUGUCUCUUUCUUAAUUGUUGAAUUUAAUAUUUUUGUGAAGAAGCGGAAAUAAAUUCGUAGGACGAGAAGACCCUAUCGAGCUUUAGUAGAGCUAUUAGUAGUUGUAUAAUGUUGAGGAUCUAAUUGAGCUGUUUGGCAGUUUUCGAAGUUUUAGUUCUUUAGGGGUUAUUAGGUAAUAGUGUAGCUUUGGUUGGGGCAAUCGCGGAGCAAAUGAAACCUCCGCUACAAGUAUAAAAAAUUACUAUUUUAUAAAAGUGAUCCGCUGUGUAUAGCGAGCAAAGGAAUAAGUUACCGUAGGGAUAACAGCGUAAUUUUUUUGGAGAGUUCAUAUUGAUAAAAAAGUUUACGACCUCGAUGUUGGAUCGAGAUUUCCUAGAGAUGCAGCAGUUUCUAAGGGUUGGUCUGUUCGACCAUUAAAAUCUU
rnacentral:rRNA from 1 species